UUAAGCAUAUCAAUAAGCGGAGGAAAAGAAACCAACAGGGAUUACCUCAGUAACGGCGAGUGAAGCGGUAACAGCUCAAAUUUGAAAUCUGGCUCUUUCAGGGUCCGAGUUGUAAUUUGUAGAAGAUGCUUCGGGUGUGGCCCCGGUCUAAGUUCCUUGGAACAGGACGUCAUAGAGGGUGAGAAUCCCGUAUGUGACUGGGUGCCUUCGCCUAUGUGAAGCUCUUUCGACGAGUCGAGUUGUUUGGGAAUGCAGCUCAAAAUGGGUGGUAAAUUUCAUCUAAAGCUAAAUAUUGGCCAGAGACCGAUAGCGCACAAGUAGAGUGAUCGAAAGAUGAAAAGCACUUUGGAAAGAGAGUUAAACAGUACGUGAAAUUGUUGAAAGGGAAGCGCUUGCAACCAGACUUGCACGUUGUCGAUCAUCCGGGGUUCUCCCCGGUGCACUCGAUCUCGUUCAGGCCAGCAUCGGUUUUGGUGGUGGGAUAAAGGCCUUGGGAAUGUAGCUUCUUUCGGGGAGUGUUAUAGCCCUCGGUGCAAUGCCGCCUACCGGGACCGAGGACCGCGCUUCGGCUAGGAUGCUGGCGUAAUGGUUGUAAGCGACCCGUCUUGAAACACGGACCAAGGAGUCUAACAUCUAUGCGAGUGUUUGGGUGUCAAACCCAUACGCGUAAUGAAAGUGAACGGAGGUGAGAACCCUUAAGGGUGCAUCAUCGACCGAUCCUGAUGUCUUCGGAUGGAUUUGAGUAAGAGCAUAGCUGUUGGGACCCGAAAGAUGGUGAACUAUGCGUGAAUAGGGUGAAGCCAGAGGAAACUCUGGUGGAGGCUCGCAGCGGUUCUGACGUGCAAAUCGAUCGUCAAAUUUGCGUAUAGGGGCGAAAGACUAAUCGAACCAUCUAGUAGCUGGUUCCUGCCGAAGUU
rnacentral:rRNA from 1 species